AAAUUCCUUUGUUUCACCAACGACAUUUAUUCGGUUAUUUAUUCAUUCGUUUUUUGUUCAUUUCUCUUUUCUCUUGCGUUUUGUCAAUGGCAUGUGACAAUCUGCGACGUCAAGACUGACGCCAAAAUGAAGGCCUGGCACCUAAGAAAACAAGGUAAAACCAACAGAGAAAUAUACCGAAUAUUACACGCCACAGAACAUGCGUAAUUCAAUUUACGAGAAGUUUGGUAUCCGCCAACGUUAUUCACGCCGCGCAUCGCUACUUAUCAAGGCCCUAUAGCCACGGCAACAUCUGUAUCAUAUCGUGUACAAAAGCAGUCUUACAAAUUACUCCGACUCAAUUCACUUCUAAACUCCGAAUAUCAUCCUCAUCCGAGUCUACGAGGGAGGAAAUUACUUUUUGGUUCCGACAUAAAAAUCCGAAUAUACCUAUAUCAUGCGUCAGCAACGGAGUGUCAUAUCUCAUGAUUUAUUUUACGGUUGACGUUGUAAGUCCUCCACUGAGAUCGAUAUAAAUUAUAAAACAUAGGACGUUGUUUCGCGUAUUUAUACGCUCGCCACGUGGAAGAGUGUGCGCCAAUUGCGUAGCCUAAACAGCGUUGGUAUUAGAGGAGACGAGAUGAGAGGGAAAAGGGAAGCCCGGGAUUGUCUUGCCUAACGAAUUGUACUUCAAAGUCUUUCGAGACCUCGACAGGUGAAGAAGAGUCUCCAGCUCGACUCGCGAUCUGCUUCGUUAGCUCGUCAGGAUUCCGGCCGAGCCAGUUUUCACCGAGAGAAAAAGAGAGGGAACGACGGAGCGCCGUUGGUACGCGGCUACGCGAUCAACACCGGCAGACCCCGGGCAACUGGACUCUUUUGAGACAAUAUUCUUCCUUUAAAAUCCACCCGAGGCUAUCCACCUCUGGGCAAGGAGAUAUCGAAGUAUUACGGUCUGUUACACCGUCCAAAUAUCCGGUCUUAUCGAUGGGAUUAUUGGAAAAGGUUAUCGUCUCGGGCUCUCGGUUUACAAGGUGAGUUGAGUCAUCGAGUACCUAUAACGCAACAAUUAUCACAACGAGGUAUGCCAAAAAUAAGAAAGAUUAAAUUCCCUGAAACUGAGGUACCAGAAAUUCGAAAUUACUUCCCCUAAUCUCUGUCAGCCCUCCAAGAAGCCACGCGUUUGGCUCGUCUGAAUGAAUUAAAAAAUUUUA